rnacentral:rRNA from 1 species
UGGGGAAUUUUGGACAAUGGGCGCAAGCCUGAUCCAGCCAUGCCGCGUGCGGGAAGAAGGCCUUCGGGUUGUAAACCGCUUUUGUCAGGGAAGAAAUCUUCUGAGUUAAUACCUCGGGAGGAUGACGGUACCUGAAGAAUAAGCACCGGCUAACUACGUGCCAGCAGCCGCGGUAAUACGUAGGGUGCAAGCGUUAAUCGGAAUUACUGGGCGUAAAGCGUGCGCAGGCGGUUUUGUAAGACAGAGGUGAAAUCCCCGGGCUCAACCUGGGAACUGCCUUUGUGACUGCAAGGCUUGAGUGCGGCAGAGGGGGAUGGAAUUCCGCGUGUAGCAGUGAAAUGCGUAGAUAUGCGGAGGAAACACCGAUGGCGAAGGCAAUCCCCUGGGCCUGCACUGACGCUCAUGCACGAAAGCGUGGGGAGCAAACAGGAUUAGAUACCCUGGUAGUCCACGCCCUAAAACGAUGUCAACUGGUUGUUGGGAAGGUUCCUUCUCAGUAACGUAGCUAACGCGUGAAGUUGACCGCCUGGGGAGUACGGCCGCAAGGUUGAAA